rnacentral:ncRNA from 2 species
UACUUAUCCAGAAAGACGGAGGGAAUAGGCCCAAUGAUGUCUUAGCAACCUGUUACCGAAUAAGGUGCUAAAUCCUUCCGCACAGGCGGACAGAUAAGAA